CAGAGAUACCUCUUCAAUCCCAAAACUUAUAUUGUUCCGGGAAUUACCAUGAGAAGCAAGCACUGAAUCUUUCUUGGCUAUCAAUAAAAUCUGUUGCGGCAGUACAUGGCUUCUGAAGUGACGAGUAACAGUAAUCAUGCCAGGUUAAUCCAAGCUCAGUCCGUUGGUAUGCCCCAUGGCUGGAUUUGCUUGCUUUGCUGUGUACUGGAGGUGCUCAAUGAAAUCCGUCAGUUUGCUCUUGGUCUUGGAGGAUUACGGAAGAGGAUAAGUAGAUCCUUCCAAUCCCUAGCAAUGUACUAGAAGUUAUAAAUGGUGGUCAGUAUCAGAUGGUUGUGGCUGAAACCAGACAUCUUCACUGAGAUUUAGAUGGACAGGAUAAGAGUGUCGAGAAAGCAUUGGAAUUCAGAUCAUAAGCCUUUUUCUACAAUAAUGGACUAACAAAAAACAAAGAAAAACAUGGACCUGAAUGUCUAGACAUGAAGUAAUCAAAUAAUUCUAUACCAUGUCUUACUGAUGCAAAUAUGUUGUCUACUAGGUAGUUAUGCAAACAUCUGUUCCACCUAGGUUCUUACUUAUACACACUUGUACUUUCUGUUGUUGUAGUUAAUUAAAAAUGUUUGUUAUUUAAUUUGGUUUCUGAAGAUGCUAUCAUUGUAGUGUUAAUUAGUCUCAAUCUUUUAAUGUAAAAUACUCUUAACUAAUGGUUUGCCAUAUAGCCAUGGAAUGUAUAUAGUUUGGUUCGGGCACCCUGAAAUAAAUUAAAUGUUUCCUUUGUUUGUUUUUUUCUUCCAUAGCAAGGAUUGAAUCAUUAGAACCCAAAAGGGAGUUUCAUGGAAUGUAUAUUCUAUUUGCUGGGCGGGCGGCCUCACUGAAUUGGUUGUCUCUGUUUUUCUGUGCCCUCCUGUGCCAUUGGAUUGGAUGGCGUCAUUGUCGCCGCAGCCACUACAUGUCAGAGCUGUUGCGGGAGCACCAGAAGCUUGUCCUGUUUCACGCAGGUGCUACCAAUCUACAUCAAGCUGUUGGGCCACGAGAUAAUGCGGGUGUCCUCCUUGCUUAAGCAACAUCAUGGUGGGGACCUUCAGAGGUUGCCGUCAGUGGCGAGUCCAAACCAGAUGCAUCAUCAUCUGCCGCCACCAAUGCCUAAUUUCUGUGGAAAUGGUUUUGGCCCGUGGAACCACGGUGCGCAUCUAGAGAUUGUCUUUGAGAAUAAUUUGAUGAACCACCAUGUCGCUCUUCAAUCUGGUUCCAUGGGAAAGUAAAUUACAUCGCUCGAGCGGGUCAACAUAGCCUACAGGAUACAUUUCUAGAGCUGAAAUUUCAGGGCAUCAAGAAGUAAUUAACUAUGCUUCAAGCAAGGAAGUUAUUUGGUAUAACUUUUUUGAGGACUAAUUUACUAGCUUAAUGUUUGGAAGUUAAUGAGCUGCAGAUAUGGCAUGUGCGUACACGAAGACCUGAUGCAUCAAAGCUCGGUGUGGACACCUCUUCUUACAUGACAUGUUUGUCGACAACUUAUCCGAGCUUCAAUUUCCAGAAUAAAACACAUGUUUUUAUUUAUUAUGGUUUCUUCUCUUAGAUGACCAAACAUUUUGCAGAUGUUGAUUUUUCAUUUCCUUCCAACGCCAUUAAAUCCCAGUGUUUUCUAAUUUGAAAUGGCUCCCCUCAGUAUCACUCCCCUCAGUUUUUGGAGGAACAUGGUGCUAUUUGGUGUUUUUGGUUGUGGAAAAAAUGUCAUUAGUCAGGCACUUUCUAAGGUGGUCAGCUGACUGCUCUGUUGUCAUGGAUGUGGGAAAAUCUUUGUCUAUAUUUUUUUGGGUACCAUCUCUAUACCGUCUAUUGAGUUUGAAAAUGUCCGCGGU